rnacentral:rRNA from 1 species
AUUGAACGCUGGCGGCAGGCCUAACACAUGCAAGUCGAGCGAGCGGCGGACGGGUGAGUAAUGUCUGGGAAACUGCCUGAUGGAGGGGGAUAACUACUGGAAACGGUAGCUAAUACCGCAUACCAUCAGAUGUGCCCAGAUGGGAUUAGCUAGUAGGUGGGGUAACGGCUCACCUAGGCGACGAUCCCUAGCUGGUCUGAGAGGAUGACCAGCCACACUGGAACUGAUACACGGUCCAGCCUCCUACGGGAGGCAGCAGUGGGGAAUAUUGGACAAUGGGCGCAAGCCUGGUGGAGCCAGGCCGCGUGUGUGAAGAGGGCGUUCGGGUUGGAAAGCGCUUUCAGCGGGGAGGCGUUACCCGCAGAAGAAGCACCGGCUAACUCCGGGCCAGCAGCCGCGGUAAUUC